rnacentral:lncRNA from 1 species
GCCGCCGGACUCCCGCCGAUGGAGGCGAUCUCUGGGACCAAGACGCUUUUGAAUUCCAUCUCUGGCGAGGCGAGGGAAGGGGAGAUCUUCGCGGUGUUGGGGGCGAGUGGCUCCGGAAAGUCCACCCUGAUCGACGCCCUUGCGAACCGCAUCGUUCGGGAGAGCCUGCAGGGUUCCAUCACCCUCAACGGAGAGAAGCUCGAGGGGCGGCUCCUCAAGGUGAUCUCCGCCUAUGUCAUGCAGGACGACCUCCUGUACCCCAUGCUCACCGUGGAAGAAACCUUGAUGUUCUCUGCGGAGUUCCGGCUGCCGCGGUCGCUGUCCGCCUCGAAGAAGAAGAGCCGGGUGCAAGCACUGAUCGACCAGCUCGGCCUCCGGUCCGCCGCCAAGACCAUCAUCGGCGAUGAGAUCCACCGCGGCGUCUCCGGCGGAGAGCGUCGCCGUGUGUCGAUCGGAAUCGACAUCAUCCACGACCCCAUCAUCCUCUUCCUCGACGAGCCCACGUCCGGCCUCGAUUCCACCAGCGCUUUCAUGGUCGUCAAGGUGUUACAGAGGAUUGCUCACAGCGGAAGCAUAGUGAUCAUGUCGGUGCACCAGCCGAGCUACCGGAUCCUGUGUCUUCUCGAUCGCCUUCUUUUCCUCUCCCGCGGACAGACGGUGUACAGCGGUCCGCCUGACGGCAUCCCCCGGUUCUUCGCCGACUUCGGCCACCCGAUCCCCGACAACGAAAACCCGACAGAGUUCGCGCUCGACCUCAUCCGCGAGUCUGAGGGCACUCCGGACGGUGCGAAGCCCCUCGUCGACUUCAACAAGUCGCGCCAGAACACACAACUCGCCCUGACUACCGCCGAGGAGUCGUCUGUUUCUCUCAAGGACGCCAUCAGCGCCAGCAUCUCUCGCGGCAAGCUCGUCUCCGGCGCGACAGACAGGACGACGUCUGCCUCGUCCGUCCAGAAGCACGCCAAUCCGUUCUGGAUCGAGAUGGCGGUGCUCACCAAGCGGUCGUUCACCAACACCAAGCGGAUGCCGGAGCUGUUCGCCAUCCGCCUCGGCGCAGUGCUCGUAACCGGAUUCAUCCUGGCCACCAUCUUCUGGCGGCUCGACAACUCGCCCAAGGGCGUGCAGGAGCGGCUCGGCUUCUUCGCCAUAGCCAUGUCCACCAUGUUCUACACGUGCGCCGACGCACUACCUGUCUUCCUCCAGGAGCGCAACAUCUUC